GCCAGUGUAGUAUAGUGGUUUGAGUGUUGGACUAUGACUCUGGAGAAGAGGGUUUGAUUCCCUGCUCAGUCA